rnacentral:rRNA from 1 species
GACGAACGCUGGCGGCGUGCUUAACACAUGCAAGUCGAACGAAGUGGCGAACGGGUGAGUAACGCGUAAUCAACCUGCCCUUCAGAGGGGGACAACAGUUGGAAACGACUGCUAAUACCGCAUACUGAAGGCGGGGAUUGCGUCUGAUUAGCUAGUUGGAGGGGUAACGGCCCACCAAGGAGAUGAUCAGUAGCCUGUCUGAGAGGAUGAACGGCCACCUGUGUACUGAGACACGGCCCAGACUCCUACGGGAGGCAGCAGUGGGGAAGCUUCCGCAAUGGACGAAAGUCGGACUGAGCAACGCCGCGUGAUUGAUGACGGCCUGCGGGUUGUAAAGCUUUGUUAAUCGGGACGCGGUACCGGAAUAGAAAGCCACGGCUAACUACGUGCCAGCAGCCGCGGUAAUUC